rnacentral:rRNA from 1 species
AUUGAACGCUGGCGGCAGGCCUAACACAUGCAAGUCGAACGGUAACAGGAAGCAGCUUGCUGCUUCGCUGACGAGUGGCGGACGGGUGAGUAAUGUCUGGGAAGCUGCCUGAUGGAGGGGGAUAACUACUGGAAACGGUAGCUAAUACCGCAUAAUGUCGCAAGACCAAAGAGGGGGACCUUCGGGCCUCUUGCCAUCGGAUGUGCCCAGAUGGGAUUAGCUUGUUGGUGGGGUAACGGCUCACCAAGGCGACGAUCCCUAGCUGGUCUGAGAGGAUGACCAGCCACACUGGAACUGAGACACGGUCCAGACUCCUACGGGAGGCAGCAGUGGGGAAUAUUGCACAAUGGGCGCAAGCCUGAUGCAGCCAUGCCGCGUGUAUGAAGAAGGCCUUCGGGUUGUAAAGUACUUUCAGCGGGGAGGAAGGGAGUAAAGUUAAUACCUUUGCUCAUUGACGUUACACGCAGAAGAAGCACCGGCUAACUCCGUG